rnacentral:rRNA from 1 species
AUUGAACGCUGGCGGCAGGCUUAACACAUGCAAGUCGAGCGGGGGAAGGUAGCUUGCUACCGGACCUAGCGGCGGACGGGUGAGUAAUGCUUAGGAAUCUGCCUAUUAGUGGGGGACAACAUCUCGAAAGGGAUGCUAAUACCGUAUACGUCCUACGGGAGAAAGCAGGGGAUCUUCGGACCUUGCGCUAAUAGAUGAGCCUAAGUCGGAUUAGCUAGUUGGUGGGGUAAAGGCCUACCAAGGCGACGAUCUGUAGCGGGUCUGAGAGGAUGAUCCGCCACACUGGGACUGAGACACGGCCCGGACUCCUACGGGAGGCAGCAGUGGGGAAUAUUGGACAAUGGGGGGAACCCUGAUCCAGCCAUGCCGCGUGUGUGAAGAAGGCCUUAUGGUUGUAAAGCACUUUAAGCGAGGAGGAGGCUACUUUAGUUAAUACCUAGAGAUAGUGGACGUUACUCGCAGAAUAAGCACCGGCUAACUCUGUGCCAGCCGCCGCGGUAA